GCGGCAAUGAUUGGUCUCGGGGGAGGGGUGGGGGGUUGCAGAGGCGAGGAGCGGUGGCAUCCGUUGCAUGAUGCAAAGAGGAUGGGUUUCAGAAGUUGCGACUUGCGUUGGCAGCAGCCUAUGGCGCCCAGGCCACCGGCUUUUCCUCGCCCCGCAGAAAGGGCUCGGAAUGUUUUCCAAUUCCUGGCGGGGCUCCGCCGCGCGGCGAGGCGCGGGACGCUGGAUCUGCUCCCCGCGCGCGCACGGCGCGUGGCGCUGGCAGACAAUGACCAUGGAGACCAUUUGAAAAAGAGUGGGAGCAGAGGAAAAGGCGCCUCUGCCAAGGCGGAGGGCUUACAAUCACCCCGGCGUGUGGAUGACCAGCGACUUCGUCGGCUCUCCUAUUGUUCAGCCUGGCUCGGGUGUUAGUAUGAGCCUUAGUGAACAUGUAUUACAGAUGGAUGCCCUUUUCAUUCUUAAAAUUGCUUUGACAAUUACCCAGGAUUUCCAUCUAGGUGAGGAUGCAGAAGUGAUGCGGGUGUCAACAUAGGAAACAGGCUUCUCUUUUUUGUGUCCUUUCUCUGGGUUCUUUGAUGUGAUUUGUAGGACUUGUGUAUGAACGGCAUAACCCUGUGGUUGACAAACCUGGAUCACCCGUGAAGUCUCAGAUAUACACAAUCUCCAGGCACCACUCAAGAAUCAGGGCAGGAGAAUACAGUGAAAGAUGGAGUCGAAAGAGAACCAGAGAGAUGUGGUGUGAGAAGGAUUCAGCCCAAUGUUGCUGGCUAUGAAGAUGGAAUAAGGGGCCACAAUCAGGGAAAACAGGAGCCUUCUGGAAGCUGGAAAAG